UUUACAUACGGAUCCUUGGGAUACGUGUCUGCGGGCGUGCGCGGUCCAUGUCGAAAUACCUGGUUUUUCUGCUGAUGAGACAUCAUGAAGUCGAGCUAUACCAACUCAUCUAGCUGGUUUUUGUAUAGCACAGCUGUAAACAAGUGGGAAGACUAUGGCAUACUAUGCUAUGGGUAACGUGAAUUAGUUAAUUAAAUUCUAGCAAUAUGAAAAGUGAAACUGAUUAAGAGUUAUUUCAAGGUCUAUGACAUACAUUUGUAAUAUUUCAACCCUUUUUGUUUAUACGUACGAUGUAAGAAGAC